rnacentral:rRNA from 1 species
UACAGAGGGGGCGAGCGUUGUUCGGAAUUACUGGGCGUAAAGGGCGCGUAGGCGGCCCUCUAAGUCGAACGUGAAAGCCCCGGGCUCAGCCCGGGAAGUGCGCUCGAAACUGCGCAGCUCGAGUGCCGGAGGGGAGAGUGGAAUUCCUGGUGUAGCGGUGAAAUGCGUAGAUAUCAGGAGGAAUACCGGUGGCGAAAGCGACUCUCUGGACGGCAACUGACGCUGAGGCACGAAAGCGUGGGGAGCAAACAGG